GGCGACGGCGAUGGCGAUCAAGAGGGAGGAGCGGCGAUAAAGAGCACCGACUCGUGGCCUGCGUUGCGCUUCUUUUAUUAAGGAAAGAAGCUCUAGUGAUCGUCGACACGGGCUUCCAAAGACAAAAAAGAAAAGAAAAGAAAAGAAAAAAAA